UGCCAGCCGCCGCGGUAAUACGGAGGGGGUUAGCGUUGUUCGGAAUUACUGGGCGUAAAGCGCACGUAGGCGGACUGGAAAGUUUGAUGUGAAAGCUCCGGGCUUAACCCGGAAAAUGCAUUGAAUACUUCUCGGCUAGAGGAUCGGAGGGGAAACUGGAAUUCUUGGUGUAGCAGUGAAAUGCAUAGAUAUCAAGAGGAACAUCAGUGGCGAAGGCGAGUUUCUGGACGAUUCCUGACACUGAGGCACGAAGGCUAGGGGAGCAAACAGGAUUAGAUA
rnacentral:rRNA from 1 species